AUUGAACGCUGGCGGCAGGCCUAACACAUGCAAGUCGAACGAGUGGCGGACGGGUGAGUAAUGUCUGGGAAACUGCCUGAUGGAGGGGGAUAACUACUGGAAACGGUAGCUAAUACCGCAUACCAUCGGAUGUGCCCAGAUGGGAUUAGCUAGUAGGUGGGGUAAAGGCUCACCUAGGCGACGAUCCCUAGCUGGUCUGAGAGGAUGACAGGCCACACUGGAACUGGGACAGGGUCCAGACUCGUACGGGGGGCAGCAGGGGGAAAUAUUGAACAAUGGGGGAAAGCCUGAUGCAGCCAUGCCGGGGGUAUGAAGAAGGCCUUGGGGUUGUAAAGUACUUUCAGCGGGGAGGCGUUACCCGCAGAAGAAGCCCCGGCGAACUCCGUGCCAGCCGCCGCGGUAAUU
rnacentral:rRNA from 1 species